GGUAGAGCGUGUACUAUUUUUGUCCUCACCCACAUUCAUGCUUUUCUCCUUCAUUGAUUCAACAAGCACAUAUAGAGCUGUGUGCCAGACUUGGCAUGAGGUGUUGAGGAUGCAGAGAUGAAGAAGCCACAGUCUCUGCCCUCAAGAAGCACACAGUCAGCCUGCGCUCCUUAGUUCUGGAGAACAGAAAGUGCUGGAGGUCUUUCCUGAGGACACAGUUCUCCCCUUUCCAGGGCUCACUUCUCUCCUUUUCCCAGAGGGACAUCCUGAUGUGGCUCUUCUGUUGAUACAGGCCCCACACUGCUGACUCUGCUCCCCUGACCUGGGAGGUGAUGACCUCCAACUCUGUGGUCCCCACAGACCAGCAUCCUCUAGUCAAUCCUUCCUAUCCCUGUCAGAGCCCACAAACCACUCACAUCCUUUCCACAGGAUCAACCCAAGACCUUGCUUUACUGCCCACUAGACACAUGGCUCCUGGGGAAGCCUUUCCCUGUCCCUCUCCAGUUGCACCCCAUCCUGUGUUCCUAAACCCUGCUGAUUGGUCUUCUGGGCUCCCACUGCCCAUGUGGGUGAUGGGGAGGGACCUAACAUCGGUUGGGUAUGACUUGCAGACUUUGAAAUCUCCCUUCCCUCCUGGAAGCCCCUCUGAAAGUGUCUUUGACUUUCUCUACUUCCCACUUUGACCACUUUGAUGGAGAGAUCAGGGAGUGAAAUGAUGGGGGUGGCCAAUUUAUCCUGAUUUGUUUAGAUUUUCCCAGUUUUAACACGGAAAGUCCUCUAUUCUGAAAACCCUUCCAUUACAAGGAAACUCAGAUGGUUGGUCACCCUAAGUGGGUCAUCCAGGAGAAAUGGUGGGCCAGUGGAAGUGGUGAGUGUUUGGAGAGGUGGCUUUGAUUCUCUUGCAACUUGCUUUUAGAGUCCAUUGAAGAGAAGAAGAGAGCAGACAUUUGUCGGGAAACUCCUAACAUAUGCCCCCAUUCUGGAGAGAACACAGAGUACGACACAAUCCCUCACACUAAUGUGAGUCCCUUCUCAUCUUUCCUGAGGACUGAUCCUGUCUCUGAGGCUCUCCUUGUGAGGUUUUUCCAAGGGUUUGGACAACAUGGGAAUGAAGAGGGGAGUGAGGAUAUAUAGCCUUAAAACUCCAUGCACCUGUGCCUCCUCCAAGUCUUCAUGGAUUCUCUUCUGUGCAGAAGAAGCUGGUGGUCUCUGGAGCACCUGGUUCUGACUCACAGUGCUCAGGCUGUGGUCUAUGAAAUCACCUGCUCCCCUCCACAGUUCAUAACGGCCACACAAAAGGCCAGAUUCCUUUUGCAUAAGGCAGUGGGUAGAAGAGCGUGACUUUGACAGGAUGUUUGAAUCAUGAUAUCAGAAGACUUCUCUAGAGAUGUCUCUCUCUCUCUCUCUCUCUCUAUAUAUAUAUAUAAUAUUUUUGAAAUUCGUUUAAACACAAUACAGUUUAAAAAUAAUGUAAUGGCUUCCUGAAAAAAGUUAUCAAAAUUUAUUAUAAUAGCGGUCACCAACAAGAGAAUUUCCUACCGCCCUUCCCUGUUCCAGAACCCUCCUUUUCCUCUCGCAUCUCCUCCCAUCUCUGCUUUCCCCUCUCUGGAUUCUGAAUGUCUCUCUGGCCUUGUCUAUGUGAUUCAGGAGGUGGAUGAUGAUUUCUUUUGUUUGUUGUUUGUUUUUAAUAGAGAACGAUCCUAAAGGAAGAUCCAGCAAAUACGGUUUAUUCCACUGUGGAAAUACCAAAAAAGAUGGAAAAUCCCCACUCACUGCUCACAAUGCCAGACACACCAAGGCUAUUUGCCUAUGAGAAUGUUAUCUAGACAGCAGUGCACUCCCCUAAGUCUCUGCUCAAAAAAAAAACAAUUCUCGGCCCAAAGAAAACAAUCAAAAGAAUUCACUGAUUUGACUGGAAACAUCAAGGAAGAAUGAAGAACGUUGACUUUUUUCCAGGAUAAACUAUCUUUGAUGCUUCUUUAGAUUUAAGAGUUCAUAAUUCCAUCCACUGCUGAGAAGUCUCCUCAAACCCAGAAGGUUUAACUACCUCGUCCCAAAAAUGGGAUUGUGAAUGUCAGCAAACCACAAGAAAAGUGCUUAGAAGUGUUCCUAUAAAAAUGUAAAUGCAAGGUCACACAUAUUAAUGACAGCCUGUUGUAUUAAUGAUGGCUCCCGGUCAGUGUCUGGAGUUUCAUUCCAUCCCAGGGCUUGGAUGUCAGGAUUAUACCAAGAGUCUUGUUACCAGGAGGGCAAGAAGACCAAAACAGACAGACAAGUCCAGCAGAAGCAGAUGCACCUGACAAAAAUGGAUGUAUUAAUUGGCUCCAUAAACUAUGUGCCCAGCACUAUGCUGAGCUUACACUAAUUGGUCAGACAUGCUCUCUGCCCUCAUGAAAUUGGCUCCAAAUGAAUGAACUACUUUCAUGAGCAGUUGUAGCAGGCCUGACCACAGAUUCCCAGAGGGCCAGGUGUAGAUCCACAGGACUUGAAGGUCAAAGUUCACAAAGAUGAAGAAUCAGGGUAGCUGACCAUGUUUGGCAGAUACUAUAAUGGAGACACAGAAGUGUGCAUGGCCCAAGGACAAGGACCUCCAGCCAGGCUUCAUUUAUGCACUUGUGCUGCAAAAGAAAAGUCUAGGUUUUAAGGCUGUGCCAGAACCCAUCCCAAUAAAGAGACCGAGUCUGAAGUCACAUUGUAAAUCUAGAGUAGGAGACUUGGAGUCAGGCGGUGAGACUGGUGGGGCACAGGGGGCGGUGAGUACUUGUAAACCUUUAAAGAUGGUUAAUUCAUUCAAUAGAUAUUUAUUAAGAACCUAUGUGGCCCGGCGCGGUGGCUCACACCUGUAAUCCCAGCACUUUGGGAGGCCAAGGUGGGUGGGUCAUCUGAGGUCAGGAGUUCAAGACCAGCCUGGCCAACAUGGAGAAACCCCAUCUCUACUAAAAAUACAAAAAUUUGCUGAGCGUGGUGGCAUGCACCUGUAAUCCCAGCUACUCAGGAGGCCAAGGCAGGAGAAUCGCUUGAACCUGGGAGGUGGAGGUUGCAGUGAGCUGAGAUGGCGCCACUGCACUCCGGCCUAGGCAACAAGAGCAAAACUCCAUCACAAAAAACAAACAAACAAACAAACACCUGUGCUAGGUCAGUCUGGCACGUAAGAUGAACAUCCCUGCCAACACAGAGCUCACCAUCUCUUAUACUUAAGUGAAAAACAUGGGGAAGGGGAAAGGGGGAUGGCUGCUUUUGAUAUGUUCCCUGACACAUAUCUUGAAUGGAGACCUCCCUACCAAGUGUUGAAAGUGUUGAAAAACUUAAUAACAAAUGCUUGUUGGGCAAGAAUGGGAUUGAGGAUUAUCUUCUCUCAGAAAGGCAUUGUGAAGGAAUUGAGCCAGAUCUCUCUCCCUACUGCAAAACCCUAUUGUAGUAAAAAAGUCUUCUUUACUAUCUUAAUAAAACAGAUAUUGUGAGAUUCACAUACAAAAA
rnacentral:sRNA from 1 species